GACGAACGCUGGCGGCGUGCUUAACACAUGCAAGUCGAACGGAAAGGCCCUGCUUUUGUGGGGUGCUCGAGUGGCGAACGGGUGAGUAACACGUGAGUAACCUGCCCUUGACUUUGGGAUAACUUCAGGAAACUGGGGCUAAUACCGGAUAGGAGCUCCUGCUGCAUGGUGGGGGUUGGAAAGUUUCGGCGGUUGGGGAUGGACUCGCGGCUUAUCAGCUUGUUGGUGGGGUAGUGGCUUACCAAGGCUUUGACGGGUAGCCGGCCUGAGAGGGUGACCGGCCACAUUGGGACUGAGAUACGGACCAGACUCCUACGGGCGGCAGCAGUGGGGAAUAUUGCACAAUGGGCGGAAGCCUGAUGCAGCAACGCCGCGUGCGGGAUGACGGCCUUCGGGUUGUAAACCGCUUUCGCCUGUGACGAAGCGUGAGUGACGGUAAUGGGUAAAGAAGCAACGGCUAACUACGUG
rnacentral:rRNA from 1 species